UGGUUCUGGCAUCGAUGAAGAACGCAGCGAAAUGCGAUAAGUAAUGUGAAUUGCAGAAUUCAGUGAAUCAUCGAAUCUUUGAACGCACAUUGCGCCCCGUGGUAUUCCGCGGGGCAUGCCUGUUCGAGCGUCAUUUCAACCCAUCAAGCUUCGGCUUGGUCUUGGGGCCUGCGGUUUCGCAGCCUCUAAACACAGUGGCGGUGCUUCUAAGCUCUGAGCGUAGUAAAUUUUCUCGCUAUAGGGUCUUGAGAGGCUACUUGCCAAUAACCCCUAAUUUAUACUAAGUUGACCUCGGAUCAGGUAGGGAUACCCGCUGA
rnacentral:misc_RNA from 1 species